rnacentral:rRNA from 1 species
GAUGAACGCUGGCGGCGUGCCUAAUACAUGCAAGUCGAGCGAACAGACGAGGAGCUUGCUCCUCUGACGUUAGCGGCGGACGGGUGAGUAACACGUGGAUAACCUACCUAUAAGACUGGGAUAACUUCGGGAAACCGGAGCUAAUACCGGAUAAUAUAUUGAACCGCAUGGUUCAAUAGUGAAAGACGGUUUUGCUGUCACUUAUAGAUGGAUCCGCGCCGCAUUAGCUAGUUGGUAAGGUAACGGCUUACCAAGGCAACGAUGCGUAGCCGACCUGAGAGGGUGAUCGGCCACACUGGAACUGGGCCACGGUCCAGACUCCUACGGGAGGCAGCAGUAGGGAAUCUUCCGCAAUGGGCGAAAGCCUGACGGAGCGACGCCGCGUGAGUGAUGAAGGUCUUCGGAUCGUAAAACUCUGUUAUUAGGGAAGAACAAAUGUGUAAGUAACUAUGCACGUCUUGACGGUAACUAAUAAGAAAGCAACGGCUAACUACGUG